rnacentral:rRNA from 1 species
CCUACGGGUGGCAGCAGUGGGGAAUAUUGGACAAUGGGGGGAACCCUGAUCCAGCCAUGCCGCGUGUGUGAAGAAGGCCCUCGGGUUGUAAAGCACUUUCAGUGAGGAAGAACGCCUGGUGGUUAAUACCCAUCAGGAAAGACAUCACUCACAGAAGAAGCACCGGCUAACUCCGUGCCAGCAGCCGCGGUAAUACGGAGGGGGCGAGCGUUAAUCGGAAUUACUGGGCGUAAAGCGCGCGUAGGUGGCUUGAUAAGCCGGUUGUGAAAGCCCCGGGCUCAACCUGGGAACGGCAUCCGGAACUGUCAAGCUAGAGUGCAGGAGAGGAAGGUAGAAUUCCCGGUGUAGCGGUGAAAUGCGUAGAGAUCGGGAGGAAUACCAGUGGCGAAGGCGGCCUUCUGGACUGACACUGACACUGAGGUGCGAAAGCGUGGGUAGCAAACAGGAUUAGAUACCCGUGUAGUC